AUGAGAAUUUUCUUCCACAAGGCCCAUCUCUGGUAUUGAAAUUUACUCUGAAGAUCUGAGAGGAUUCGCUUCCCGGCGAUUAGUUCGAAUAACUGUGGAACUUACACGAAGAAUAGCAAGAAGAUCCUUUUCCCUCGAACAACAACUGAGAGGGUCCUAGUGCCUGAUUGGAUUUGUAAUCCUAGUGCCUGGAUAUUUUUGGCAAUCCUAGUG